rnacentral:rRNA from 1 species
GGUGAACGCUGGCGGUAGGCCUAACACAUGCAAGUCGAACGGCAGCACAGUAAGAGCUUGCUCUUACGGGUGGCGAGUGGCGGACGGGUGAGGAAUACAUCGGAAUCUACUUUUUCGUGGGGGAUAACGUAGGGAAACUUACGCUAAUACCGCAUACGACCUACGGGUGAAAGCAGGGGAUCUUCGGACCUUGCGCGAUUGAAUGAGCCGAUGUCGGAUUAGCUAGUUGGCGGGGUAAAGGCCCACCAAGGCGACGAUCCGUAGCUGGUCUGAGAGGAUGAUCAGCCACACUGGAACUGAGACACGGUCCAGACUCCUACGGGAGGCAGCAGUGGGGAAUAUUGGACAAUGGGUGCAAGCCUGAUCCAGCCAUACCGCGUGGGUGAAGAAGGCCUUCGGGUUGUAAAGCCCUUUUGUUGGGAAAGAAAAGCAGCAGGUUAAUACCCCGCUGUUCUGACGGUACCCAAAGAAUAAGCACCGGCUAACUUCGUG